UUAKWGUUUGAUCAUGGCUCAGAUUGAACGCUGGCGGCAGGCCUAACACAUGCAAGUCGAACGGUAGCACAGAGAGCUUGCUCUCGGGUGACGAGUGGCGGACGGGUGAGUAAUGUCUGGGAAACUGCCUGAUGGAGGGGGAUAACUACUGGAAACGGUAGCUAAUACCGCAUAACGUCGCAAGACCAAAGAGGGGGACCUUCGGGCCUCUUGCCAUCAGAUGUGCCCAGAUGGGAUUAGCUAGUAGGUGGGGUAACGGCUCACCUAGGCGACGAUCCCUAGCUGGUCUGAGAGGAUGACCAGCCACACUGGAACUGAGACACGGUCCAGACUCCUACGGGAGGCAGCAGUGGGGAAUAUUGCACAAUGGGCGCAAGCCUGAUGCAGCCAUGCCGCGUGUAUGAAGAAGGCCUUCGGGUUGUAAAGUACUUUCAGCGGGGAGGAAGGUGUUGUGGUUAAUAACCGCAGCAAUUGACGNUACCCGCAGAAGAAGCACCCGCUMACUCCGUGCCAGCMSCCRCSGUAAUA
rnacentral:rRNA from 1 species